UUAAAAGAUAUGUGAUGGAGAUGGAGAAGAGUCUGCUUCCUCAGCUGCUGUCAGGCAGGCACUGCUGGCUGGACACGGCGUGUGCAGCAUCCUAACAGGGUCAUCCUCUCUCUAAAACUCCAUUGACACCAUUCCCCAACCAUUGCAAGCUGCCCACAGGCUUUCACCAUAACCCCUGAGACACAGCCAGCACAAGGCAGCUGGGGAUGACCUGAAAUUCAUGCUGAAGGCAGAGACACUUCUACAUUCAGAGCCUCCAAUUUCCACUACCAAGCUGGUCAGCCCAUGAAGAAGCGGGAAACGGCCUUUUAUCUUUCAAAGUAAUCACCAAAAAGGCACUGGAGAUACAGUGGGCUGUGACAAAAUGGAACAGCUGUCUGUGGACUACACUGGGUCAGAUACCACUACUUUACAGUGAUCCCUGUCCAAUGCAUGGAGAACCUUUGGGAGGAGUUUCUCUGCUACAGGCCAACAUUUGUCACCUUUCAUUUGCAAAUAUCAAGCUCUGGGAUUCCCUGCUGGACUCUGCCCCAAGCACUGGCCAAGGGCCCACUGGCUCCAAACCAGUUCUCUGCAUAGAAGGGUUUGCUCCUGGCUCCUUCACAGGGAGAACUCAGUUUAGAUUGCCUGAAUCCACCAAUAAAACUUGGAUUCACCACACAGCACCAGCACCUCUGGGCACUUUUUCCCUUGUGGCAAUUUUUCAUCUUGAUACUGAUUGUGAAAUCUGAAUUUCCAGGAAAGAUCGUUCAUCUUAAAUCAGGAAUUAACAAUAGUGUGCAAGCACUUUUCAGAAAACUGGCUUUAAUUUUUUUUGUAUUUGUA